AUAGUAACUUGUUUUUCUGCUCAAGGACCUUGCAUACUGCCCUUUUCGUUGUAGUGACGAGAAAAGUCUGGAAGUAAAAUCUGGUGUGCUGAGUGACAAACGUGUGAGCAUCUCUUCUGUCAACAAGACAGGUCUGAAUGAACUGCGUAGUAAGAUUGAACAAGGAAUUAUGGCAUCCACAGGAAGGCAGAUAAAAAAACUUGUUUUUCCCCCUGAUGGACCACAGCUCAGCUGGCUUUACCACGAGACAACAGUCCAGAACACAACAGCUGACGAGGAAGGAAAUAUUGUUGCAACCGUUGUCAUGGACGAGACGGCCAGAAAGAAAUACCAAGCAAAAUUUGGGAAGCUAGAUUAAAUAUCGGCAUUUUUGUUUAUGAAUAAUCCACAAUACAAACCUAGACUGUCAAAUGUACAAAUAGUUAGAAAUUCCUAAUAAAAAAAGCUCAAAGCUGA